AGUUUAAACUCAGCAAGCAUAUCAUUUUCAGCUCCCAAAAUUCGUCCUUAACCCUUUCUCCAUGGAAGAACAUCAACCAAACUUCAAAGGAGCAUAACUCAUUCGUUUUUGAUCCGAUUUGGGCGAUUCUCGCGGCAACGGAAAGAGGAGAUCAAUAUCUACUGAUAUAUCCCAAUAAUAUAAGUGAAUUAUAAGCUAAUUGAAGGAUUUUGGAUGGUGAAUUUUGAUGAUUAAAGCUUUGGCUAAGAGACAAUCAUCAAGAUCGGACGAGCGACUAUCGAAAAGGUUUGAGGCAAACGGAUCGAGAUAUCGUCAUAAUUAUUUGAAGAAUUUGGAUAGCAAGUGUGAGUACACUUUAAAUUACUCGUUAAUAUUCAUAAAGCCACGUAUUUUAAUACGAAAAGCUAUAUGAAUAUUUAUAUAUUUGAGAUGUUUGCUUUUAAAAUGUAUACGUAUGUAUGCUUUGAAAAUGAUGUUUUAUCGUAAUAUGUUAUUUUGAUAAUAACAUAAAUGUUAAGGCACCGGGGAUGGGUAAAGUAAUAAAAUGUGAAUUGAACCAAAUAUAAAUAAGAAAAGUACAGUACAUUCCUAUAUGUACUAAUAAAUCGAAUAUCGAAUAAUAUACAAGUAUCAGAUCAGAUAUGAAUAAGGAAAUAUAGUACAUUCCGAUAUGUACUAUCAAACAUAAUAAAUACCCAUACGUGCGUGUGUUAUAGAUGUAUGCUUGUAGAUUGUAAUGUGCAUGCCAUGGUCCAUAAAGGAUCAAUACAACAGAACGAAAAAUA